UCGAACAGUUAGAAAGGGGAAGAUCGAAGGAGUGGAUGGAUGAUGCUUGGGACAGUUGCUGGCGGAUUUGCAUCUGCAUCUGCAUGUGCACGUUCUGUCAUUCUACUUUUUCUGUCGGCCCUUUUCGAUUUCAAUUCACACCUGUGCACCCAUCGUAGGUCUACAGAAUGUUACAAAUAUAAUA
rnacentral:misc_RNA from 1 species